AAAUUGCUUGUUGUGUCCUUGUAGCGCAUUGGACUUCUAAUCCAAAGGUCGUGGGUUCAAAUCCCACCUAAUUUU